rnacentral:rRNA from 1 species
GACAGAGGUGCCGAGCGUUAGGCGGAAUCACUGGGCUUAAAGCGUGUGUAGGCGGGCGGGCAAGUACGUUGUGAAAUCCCACGGCUCAACCGUGGAACGGCUGGGCAUACUGGCGAUCUUGGGCCAACUAGGGGCAACUGGAACAAGCGGUGGAGCGGUAAAAUGCGUAGAUAUCGCUUGGAACGCCAAAGGUGAAAACAGGUUGCUGGGGUUGUGCCGACGCUGAGACACGAAAGCCAGGGGAGCAAACGGG